rnacentral:tRNA from 1 species
ACCUGGGUGGCUCAGUUGGUUGAGCAUCUGACUUUGGCUCAGGUCAUGAUCUCACAGCUUGUGGGUUCGGGCCCCGUUCUGGGCU